AAACUUUCAACAACGGAUCUCUUGGGUUCUGGCAUCGAUGAAGAACGCAGCGAAAUGCGAUAAGUAAUGUGAAUUGCAGAAUUCAGUGAAUCAUCGAAUCUUUGAACGCACAUUGCGCCCCUUGGUAUUCCGAGGGGCAUGCCUGUUCGAGCGUCAUUU
rnacentral:rRNA from 1 species